CGGGGGCCCAGAGUGGAGAGCGCGAGGGCCUGGCCCAGGCACGGCCGGCGCCUCAGCCCUCGAGGAGGGCGUCACCUCAGCUCCCCCCGGCGGCGGAGCCGGUGGGCUCAGGCGGGCGCGGCUGAGGGGAGCGGACCGCGUGGGGCGGGAUGACUGCGCCCAAGGCCUUUGCGGGCCUCAGCCGGCCCCAGAGGAAGGGGGACCCGUCGAGCGGUUCGGUGCGUGUGAAGCGCGACAUGGCGGGGAAGCGGACAAGGCCGGGUGGCCUGGCGUCUACAGGGAAGGGGGCGGGACUAGACGCGGCCUUGACAACUAGUAGAGCGCCUCGGGCUGUGCGGCUCGAGACUACAUUUCCCAGGGGGCCCCGCGCGGAGCGGGCGGAAAAGAGAGCGUUUCGGGUCCAGUGCGCAGGUGCGAAAGCCAUCUUUGGUUAUAUAAGGGAGGUUCAGGAGGCCAUUCGUUCUUUCGCGUCCGCGGCGCUGUGAGUGUGGUGGUUCCGCAGGUUGCAGUCAGGCUUCGUACGCUAUUGUCCUUCCCGUUAGAGCAGCCAGCGGGUACAGAAUGGAUUUUGGAGGAGGGAGUCACCACUGGACCUCCAAGGAAGCCACGUGCAGACAUCUACAACCUUCGAUCUCUUGACGAGUUUAUUGUUGGCUAAAACCAACCAGGAUGAAUGCGGGCGUUGGAAGUAGAAUAUAUACAUAUACAUAUAAAAUUGAAACUGGCGAUGGUAUAUGAGAGGAGCCCUCUGGAAAGAAAAGGACAGACCCUGUGCUUUCAUGAAAGUGAAGAUCUGGCUGAACCAGUUCCACAAGGUUACUGUAUACAUAGCCUGAGUUUAAAAGGCUGUGCCCAUUUGAAGAAUGUCAUUGUUAGACUUUGGUGAAAUUUCUAACUGCCUACCUGGAUAAAGAAAAUAAAAUCUUUUAAAUCAAAA
rnacentral:antisense_RNA from 1 species